rnacentral:lncRNA from 1 species
AGCAAACGUCUUAGCUUCUGGUGGAGGUCGCGGUGAUAAUGGGUUGGCACGAAUCGUUUCCUCAUCAACAAGGUAAGCUCAUCCCAUGUCUCAAUCGGCCGUUCACCUGUUCUCCUCCUGUGGGUCAACACUUGAUCAUACCAGUUAAUAGCAUAGCCAGAGAAUUCAGUGGCAGCAAGCCUUACUUUUCUAAGUUCAGAAUAGUUUUGACAAUCAAAGAGAUGCUCAAUUUUUCUUUCCCACUCUAGAAAAGCAUCAGGGCCGUUUUUACCAUCAAAAGGUGGAAUUUUUAAUUUCAAUCCGUUCAAGCUAUCAUCAGUACGAUUGUUUCUAGCAAAUGGAUUGACAUCACCUGGGUUUCGAGUUCUAUGACCUCUUCUUGGCCGGUAAGCGGUUCUGACCUCGUCCUCUUGGGCGUCCUCAUCAGGAAACUCAUCAUCUGACCGGGUGUUCCUUCACGGCUGAUUGGUUCUUGUUCCCAAUCUAGGAUGGGAUUGGCUUACUUGAAGUUCGUCAAGCCUUUGAUGGAUCUGCUCUAGACCUGUGUUUAUAAGAUUAGAAAAAGAAUCAUUCAAAGCUCGCAUCUGAAGAUUAGACAGUCCAGCAACUGAAUUUCCAGGACGGUUUUGAUCUUCGUGGCUACUCAUGGUUCCUGAAAUUUCUUAAACACAAAACGUUAGAAUUAAAACUCACACUCUCAAGUGUUUGUUCCUUACCCACACACGUGUUUCUCUCGAUUUAAAAGUGAUCACUCAAGUUUCCACUCAAAGUUCUAUGAAGAACAGAUCUCGGAAUCUGGAUGGCCAAACUCAAGCAAAACACACGGGAAUUUUAAAAGAUAGAAAGAUAAGAGAUUUGUUUUUUAAAAGAAUCAGUUUUAACCUCCUCAAAGGCUGGAUUUCUCCUCAGCCAACAGGCUUCCUCUUCCACCACCAAUCCACAAAGUAAACUCUUUUUUUUUUUUUAAAUACGGAUCUUGCUUGUUUCUUUGCUUUCUUUUUUUUUUUUUUUUAAGUGGAUGGUAAUGAGGGGCCCGGAUUCAAGAUAGACAGAUGAAGAAGUGUUUAGAAGAAAUGGAAUAUGAGAAGAUGGAUCGAGAUCGAGAUAGAGAAUACCAGACGAGUGGGCUCUGAUACCACUUGAAGGACCCUAAGAUCGGAUUGCCCUCGACUGGAUUCGUUUGGAUAUGAACUCCGGAAAGGAGAACUGAUGGAGUGAAGGGUCGCACAAGGGUUGCGGAUGUUCCCUUGAUAUUCCCGGCUUAAAUGGCGCUUGAUAUGACUCACAAGUCCGCCAAGGAAGAUCUCGAACUGGUUGCUUGAUAUGACUCACAAGACCAACUAGUUGAGAAGUGAAUUGCUCGGAUAUGACACACGAAGACAAUCGAAAACAAGUUCUAAAGAGAACAGAGAGUUUAAACUCAAAAACUUAAUCCAAAAUGAUCUGAUUUUAUUCAUGAAAUGAAACACUUAUUUAUAGUACAAGUAGGAGACAAAGGGGCUACUUGAAUAGAAGUUUGAAAGACAAAUAAAAUUAAAAACAUUUGACUAGAAUUUUGAAAGACAAAGAAGAAAGACUCUUCAAUUUGCGGUCUGGUCAAAGUGACCCCUUGGCUGGCUUCUGUUUGACUGGUUGAACCGCAGCAAGGAGCAGGACGGUCGCGGGCCAGUCCGUCUGUUUCGACUUGUCCGUUUCCUGAACCAUCUUCGACCAUAAUCGUCCUAAGUCUUCUGAAAGAUGAAGAAUCUGUGCCUUAGAGAGAUUCGGAUGAUCAAAGUGCAUGAACUGAUCAAAUGGAUCGAUCAGUUCGUCAAUACGGUCGGUAUGUUCCAAACGGGCGAGAAGAGAGACGUCGCGUCCAGUUUCUUGUUCGACUCGGCCUAAGUUGCUUCUGGCUUGACCGUCCGUCUGAGAUUGGCGAGUUGUCCGGGAGAGAGAUG